UACGUAGGGGGCAAGCGUUGUCCGGAUUUAUUGGGCGUAAAGAGCGUGUAGGCGGCCUGGUAGGUCAGCUGUGAAAACUCGAGGCUCAACCUCGAGACGCCGGUUGAAACCAUCAGGCUAGAGUCCGGAAGAGGAGAGUGGAAUUCCUGGUGUAGCGGUGAAAUGCGCAGAUAUCAGGAAGAACACCCGUGGCGAAGGCGGUUCUCUGGGACGGUACUGACGCUGAGACGCGAAAGCGUGGGGAGCGAACAGG
rnacentral:rRNA from 1 species